GCACUGCUGAGGAGUCCCAUACCAGGACGAAACGGCUGUCUAGUGC
rnacentral:hammerhead_ribozyme from 1 species